GUUUUAAUUAUUCUGGUCAAGCAAAGCACACAUGGAAUGACAUAUUCUAUAUUUUUCUCUUUUACCACUUAGAAAAGAGAACACCUUUGAUUGAGAAAAUAGGAAAAUGCUAAAAAUUGAAGAUGUGUCUAGAAUUUAAGAAAAAAUGAGCACAUGAUUAAAGAGAAAAAAGGAAUCUGAAAACAAUUCAAAUUGUAAAUUAUUAGUUGAACAUACCAGUACUUUUUGGCAACUUACUUUAAGGUUUCCAAAAUUGAAUGCAAUGGAAUUUUAGUUGAGAUCAGACUGUUGAAGCAGAAGCAUUUAAUUCAUAAUGUUAAUUGACCAAGCUUCAAUACUUUAGUAUUGCAUAUUUAAUUUUAGAGUUUGUAUACACUCUUCUAUGUACCAUUUGCUUGUAUACUUUAAUGAUUUAUUGUUUUGUACUU
rnacentral:lncRNA from 1 species